CAGAUUCUCCCCACUCUUCGCUAGAUCUCAGUUUAUGGCUUACUUGACGCUAGAGGCAAGUACAGAAUGGGAACGCCGACACCCAUGUUACCUGCAAAUCUCUCAGGUUUGUAGCUACUACCAGUGAGUUUUUCCAGCCUUCGCACAAUUCUCUGACCUCUCCACCACCCACUCCUAGAGAUGGGACCUGACACCAUGCUGCAUCCACGAAAUCCUCUCUAUGUAUACCCAUCAAGGCUGAUUGGACGGGGAGAAAGAAGAUGGACAACUGGAUAUUCCGCUUUGUGGAUUAAAAAAUGCACUGUGUAAGCCAUAUCCCAAGAUUCUACCUCUCAAGUCACUGAUGGCAGUUUAGGAGAGGAUUUGGGGUUCGUUAUUUUCUUCCAAGAAGUAAACUUCACAUUGCAAGCC
rnacentral:lncRNA from 1 species